rnacentral:rRNA from 1 species
AGUGAACGCUGGCGGCAUGCCUAACACAUGCAAGUCGAACGGUAACAGGCCCGCAAGGGUGCUGACGAGUGGCGGACGGGUGAGGAAUACAUCGGAAUCUGCCCGGUCGUGGGGGAUAACGUAGGGAAACUUACGCUAAUACCGCAUGAGACCGAGAGGUGAAAGCGGGGGAUCGCAAGACCUCGCGCGACUGGAUGAGCCGAUGUCGGAUUAGCUAGGUUGGGGG